GACAGAGGGUGCAAACGUUGUUCGGAAUUACUGGGCGUAAAGCGCGUGUAGGCGGCUUGGCAAGUCGGGUGUGAAAGCCCUGGGCUCAACCUAGGAAGUGCACUCGAAACUGCUUCGCUUGAGUGUCGGAGAGGAAAGCGGAAUUCUCGGUGUAGAGGUGAAAUUCGUAGAUAUCGAGAGGAACACCGGUGGCGAAGGCGGCUUUCUGGACGAUAACUGACGCUGAGACGCGAAAGCGUGGGGAGCGAACAGG
rnacentral:rRNA from 1 species